GGGAUGGUGGCUCAGUGGUAGAGCACUUGCCUUGCAUGCAUGAGGCCCUGGGUUUGAUUCCUCAGCAUCACA
rnacentral:tRNA from 1 species